CUCACUUAGGGGAUUCACCUGACACCUAGACUACACACUUUUUCUCUCUCCAGAAAAGAAAUCUCUAAUGCGCUGAUGAAUGGAGGAAGGGCAUCACCAAGCCGGUCGGUAUAGGAAGGGGACCCAACAGACAUUCAACUCUUUGUAUUCUGUUUCAGCAUAAAGCACACUUUCUGAAGAGGUUCCUGGUGGAGAUUGGAAAUCUGACUGUGUCCUGUGGCAACACACAGUCCCUUGCAUAACUUUGGCUUCAGUCCCUGGAUCUGUCCUUUGCAGCUACGUCAGGUUCCAUGGAAGGAGGAAAGAGCUGGAGGGUAGUAUCACUCAGCCAAAGCUCCCAUGGGGUCCCAUGCUGGCAGGAUAAUGGGUUCCUGCUCUAACACAGCUAGCACCUCUUCAGGGACAUGCUUCCUGUCCACCACCACUUCGUAGACAUACUCAGAGAACCACUCAUCUGUCAUGCACAGGUAA
rnacentral:lncRNA from 1 species